rnacentral:lncRNA from 1 species
AAAAUAAAUAAAUAAAGGUACUGUGUCCAACUACAACUAAAGAAAUAUUUAAGAAAACAACAUGGUGACACCUUUUCCAAUUAAUAAAGCCUUUAUUGAUGUCAGUAUAACUUACAGACAUUUUGGGACUCAGUGGCCACCAUAGGUGGGAGAUCAAUAUGACAACAAUAGUUCCAAGGUCAUUGUCCACACAUACACCUUAUAUCUCAGACAAACUCAAACAUUACCAUCAAAAGUAAAAUCCAGGAGCCCCUAUGGAACAAGAGGCCCUUUCAGAAGGUCCAUAAAAUGAAAACUUUUCAUGAUACAUUAUUUGCCUUUUCAUUCUCAUCAUUUCAUAUUUGUACAGCAGAUUUGACCAGAAACUUAUAUUAACACAAAAAAACUGAAUGCAGAAGCAAAAUUUCAAGAAUCUGGUAUUUUAUCAUGCUAGACUUUAAAAUAUUUGCAAAAGAGUAAAACAGUACCACUCUUCUCACCUUUUUGAUUAUUAUUUAUUAUAACAAUUUUAUGUUAACCUGUAAUGCAUUUAUAACUCUCUGUGUGUGUGUGUGUGUGUGUGUGUGUGUUGUGGUACUGAGGGGUGAGCCCAGGGUUGUGGGCCACUGAGCUGCAUCCCCAGCCCUCUGUUUUAUUUUGAAACAGGGUCUGGCUAAGUGUUCUAGGCUCUCCUCAAACUUUUGAUCCACUUGCCUCAACUUCUGAAGUCCCUAGGAUUUAUGAGAGUGUGCCAAUGUGCAAUUAGUAAAUUACUAAUUGUGUAAGAAGAAUAAUGGUCUUUCAAAGAUAUAUACAUGUUUCAUCUGUGGAACCUUUCAAUAUGUUAUCUUAAAUGACAAAAGGGAUUUUGUAGAUAUGAUUAAGAAUCUUUUGCUGGGCUUGGGGGUGCUCAUCUAUAAUCCCAGGGAGCUGAGGUUGAUCUUGGGAGCUAGAAAUUGCUGUCUUGCAUACCUUCAUUUUAGCCCUGUGAAACUCAAACUUUGACUUCUUACUACAGGAACCUAGAUAAUAAAUUUUUGUCAUUUAAGUCACUAUCUGUGGCAACUUCCUUGAGCAGCCAUAAAGAAUUGGCACAGUAACUCAAACUUUACUCAAUUUUAAUUUCCAUAACAAUAAAAACUGAUGUUAUCUUAUGAUAAAAGCUCUUAAAUUGUGAUGAACAAUUUAAAACAAAAUGGGAUUGUGCUCUGUUGCCCAGAAUUUGUCUCAAAUUCAAGACCUCUCAAGUGAUCCUUCUGCCUCAGUCUCUCUGAGACAAAAAAAGAACCACUCCUCUAAAAAAAAUCCUGUGUCUUUCUAACUUUCUACCUCUCUUUUCACCUUAGUUCUUGCUGUUCUGAGUGCCUGGAAUGUCCUUGCCUUAAUUAAAAUCCUCACCAUUGUUUCAGGUCCAUCUUACUGUGUAUCUCGUCAUCACUCCAGCCAGAAGGCUCCCUCAAUCCUGUUUUCUGACAUUCCAUGAGGAGGUAACCAUCUCUGCAAAUCCUGCUCUCCACAAUUCAAGGUCCCUGGCUCUCUACAUAGACCCCAGCUAUACUGCCAUGAUAAAAUCCCAGGUUCUGGAUGCUCCACAAAAAGCCAAGAUUCCCAGUGAGUACUGCUGUCAUAGACUCUAAUUUAUUAGGUCAUCAUGUAAAGCCCAGCAUCACUGUGAGUCCUACCAUCAAGAGAACCCCAGUUCCAUUUUUCUAAACAUAGAGUUCAGAGGAACUGAGUGCCCUGCUGAUACCACUGACGCCAUAUUUAAAGACAGGUAGUUAGUGUAGUUAGGUAAAUCUGGUCUAAUAUCAAGUAAGAUAAAGAAAAUGGAGACCAUUAUCGAGAAUGGAGUCCAGGAACCAGAGCAGCACUUGGGGAAAUUGAAAUGUUAAUGUCCCCAAGGCCUGGAACCCAGUCUAAGGAACUGUUAAUGAAACAGCUCCCAGCAAACAGGGAGGUGCUAAUCAAACCACCCCAGGCCAUUCCUGCCCAGAUACUCCUCCAGCCAUCUAUCUCCCACCUUUUGGCCUUCCCACCUACAUUCUAUCACUGCAGGACAAAGGGAAACAAAGGACUCAAAGAAGACCUUAGCUAUAAAAAUGGGAAGACCUCCCCCUUCCACAGAUUCUGCCUUUUGGGUUCCCUCUAUCUCCCUUAUCUUUCUCCUUCCAGCCUAGUGACUAGGCCCAGGAAUGCCCAGUGGGAGGGACAAAAGGUGGGAAAAAGGACAAAAGGGGGAAGGGCAGGACAGAGUAGCCAAGGACACAUUAACAACUUUUUUUUUUUUUUGAUGAGAAAUGGCAUCUUGGUUUUAUUGCAUCUGGUUAAUAGCAGAAUAGAUUCUGCUGUUCAUUUUUAAAAAUUGUAAAUAAGGGCUCCAGGUAGUUCUAAUUUGAAAGGUAAUGUUUUAACUCUUUCAUUAUUGUGAUGUAUUUAAAACCAUAUAAAAUUGUAAAAAGAAAUUAUCUAGAAUGCAUGCAAUUUAUUUUAAAGCUAUACAACAUUUCAUUCUUAUCCCAGAGUUAUGAAUAACAAAGUCCUACAUAAGACUGCAUAUGUUGUCCAGGAAAAAUGGAAGUAUAAGUAAUAUGCUCUGAACAUGUAUGAGCAUAUAUUCACAGUCAUGUUUAAAUGAAUUCCAGGUGGUCACAUAUCAAGUGAAAAGAAGUCAAAGAUUUACAGUCUGGUAAGGAAAGGUUCUCUGAGGAGCACUCUGUGGAAUGCGUUUCUCUUGGAAGAAGCUCUGGUGGACUCAAUUAAAUUCUAAGCAUAUUUCUUUAAUCCUGGCCUCUCACUGGGUCAGAACCAUCUGAUUUCAAGUAUUAUUGUAGGAGACCCAGGGACAAUGAUUAUUGAAAGGGCUGUGACAAACUUUCUCUGGAAAUUGCUUUUUUUUCUUUUGAUCAUGCUCAGAAACCCUGAUUCACCUUGGUCUAAAAGUCCCAGGACUACCUCUAUUUCAGCAUAGGGGACAAACUGAGUGCAGCUAGUGGUCCUCAGAUGGUAAACAUGCCAAAAACUCUGUUGAGGAAUUUUGGGUUUUUUGUUUUUUGUUUUUUUUAAAUCGACUGCUUAGGAAAAUGCUUAAUCAGCUUAGUAUAUUCUUUGUAUCACUUCAGGAAGAUUCAUCUGGGUAAUUUAAGGGCAUUGUCUGGAAGAGAAUUUUCAGAAUUAGGAGGAUAAACAUUUUAAAAUCAGAUGGUCUAAAGGAUCCUGGGGUUAGCCUCCACCUGAGACAAUUCUCAACAGGUGGCCCAGUGACAAUGAUUCAAGGCAGCUCUUAGGUGCUGCCUGUUAAGUUAGGAUCAUUUUGGUAUUUGCCAGAAGCUUACCAGAUUCUUUUGUUGUUACAGCUCCCUGUAGGGAGGGGAAAUUCCUGGGACAGGUUACCUUGGCAACAGGUUGGAGCACGGACAGGUUCUUGAUAAGAUCCCUCAGGGGGCAGUCUCCAACUGCGCAUACUCACUCAAAUUGACCUCCGAGAUCCAACCUGAUUCAAUUUAUCUAUAUACACUGGCUGCCUGUCUAAUUCUGGCUUCACUGCUACCAGAGAAACCCACUUACCUGUCUCUCUCGUAGACCCCAGGAGACAGGGAUUUCUUCCAUAAAUAGAACCUCAGUUUCAAUGCUUUCCACAUAAAGAUCAGCAGGACAGAUAGUCCCUACAUCCUAGAAUUGCAGUUCCCUGUGGGUUGUUGUUGUUGUUGUUGUUUUGGUACUGGGGAUUGAACUCAGGGGCAUCGACCACUGAGCCACAUCCCCAGCCCCUUUUUGUAUUUUAUUUAGAGACAGAGUCUCACUGAGUUACCUAGUGCCUCACUGUUGCUGAGGCUGGCCUUGAACUCAUGAUCUUCCUGCCUCCUGAGCCACUGGGAUUACAGAUGUGCUCCACUACACCUGGCAGUUCCCUGGAUUUUGAAGAAAAACCCAGAAGCACUGUAUAUACUGUCAUUAUAAAAGCCACUUUUGGCUCUCUGCAUGGAACCCAGCAUCCCUGCCAUCACAAAACCCAAUUUCCCUGGCUCUCCGCAUAGACCCCAGCAGGCCUAAGAGUCCUGCCAUCAUAUAACCCAAAGUCCCUGCCUCUGAAAGUACUGUGCUUUAGCCAGGGGAGUCUUGCCAUGAUUUAAAAAAAAAAAAACAGUUCCUUGGCUCUACACCUGGAGACUAACAUCACUACAAGUCCUGGCAUCAUGGAAUCCCAGUUUCCUGGCUCUCCAGAUGAAUUCUCAGAGGCCUGCAAGUAUUGCAGUGAAUAAAAUCUGAGUGUAGAAACCAAGAUUCUACACUCCCAAUGUAGAUUUCAGCAGACUUAUGUAUCUUGUCAUUAUAAGCAUCAUUUUAUUCCUCUCCAUAUACAGCUUAGCAGCCAUACAUUCCCUGACAUCAUAGAAAAAAAGGUCCCUCCUUCUUUAGAUAGAUUCCAGCAGCCCUGUGAUUUCUGCCAACGUGUAAUCCAAGACUCUAGCUCUGCAUACAGAUCCCCAAAGCCCUGCCAUCCUGUCAUUGUAGAAACCAGUUUUCUUCUCCCCAUAUGCAGAUCUGCUGGCCUGUGUGUGCUGCCACCAUAGAACCCAAGUUCCCCAGCUCUCCACACAGGAUGUAGUAGUGCUGGGAGACACAAAAUUAUUGAAACCCCAUGAUCUGACUCUCCACAUAUAGCCCAGCAGCCCUGUGAGACCCACCUUCAUAGAACUUCAGUCCCCUGCCAUCAUAGAACCAAGUUCCCCUCUGUCUACAUAGAGCUCAGUUGAAUUGUGAAUUCUGUUAUAAAAUCUCAGUUCCCUUGAUGUCCAAAUAGAGGUGUCCAGUAACAUUACAAAUCCUGCCAGCAAUGAAAUCCCACUGUACUUUUACUCCACAUAAAGCCCAGCAGCUCCAGGUUUGCUGUAACCACAGAAACGUAGUUUCCUAUCUCUGCACAUAGAGCCCAUAAGCUUUGGGAGUCCCUCCAACAAUAUAGCCCAUAUCCCUGGGGGUUUUUUGUUUUGUUUUGUUUUGUUUUGUUUUAGCAAGAUCCCAAAAGUACUCAGAGUCCUGUCAUCAUAUAACCCCAUUUCCCUAGGACAGAUAAAUCUCAACAACUGUGUGAGUAUCACCAUUAUAGUGUCAAAUCUAUUCCCUGGCACUCCACAAAGAAUUCUACAGCAUGGAGAUUUCCUGUUAUCAGUACUCCAGUUCCUUGACUCUUCAAAUAUGAUCAUGAAGACUUGGGAUCCCUGCCAUUUUAUUUCUCCUGUUCUCUGGCUAUCCAUGAAAAACCUAACAUGCCUAUCAGUUUUGUCAUUAUAGAAACUCCAUUUUUUGACUCUCCACAGAGAUCCAAAUAGUCUUGGGUGUCCUGUCAUCAAAGAAGCCCAGUUCUAUGACUCCUCAUUUUUUAAGGCAGCUUUGGGUAUUAUGAAAUGAUAGAUUGCAAUUGACUAGGCCUCCAUGAAGAGCCAUGCCGUCCUUGGAUCAGCCUUAAUUUAAACCCUGUUGCCUGGAUUUCAAAAUAACGUCCAGCAGCCUUCAAACACCUAUCAUCAUAAAACCCUAUUUCCCUGACUCUCAAAGUAGAAUCUGGCAGUCUUGCAUGUCUUGCCAUCCUAUAAUGUCAGUUAGCUGUCUCUAUAUGUAGACCCAGCAACAAUAAUCACAUUGCCAACAAAAGAAACUCAGAUCCCUAGCUGGCCGCACAGAGUUUAGAAGCCCUGGGGUUGCUACCAUCACAGAAACCCAUUUCUCUGUCUGCACAUACAGCUGAGCAGCUCUGUGUGUUCUGACAUGAGAGAAACUCAGUUACCUGGCUUUGGACGUACAGUAAAUCAGUCAUUUGACUUCUACCACAAUUGAAUCCAAUUUCACUUGCUUUCCAAAUGGAGACCAACAGACCUUUCAUAACUGCUAUCAUUAGACACCAAUUAUCUGGAUCUCAAGUAAAGCUCAGAAUACCUGGGGAUCCUUAGAAAAUACAACCACAACUUUUCUGACUCUCUUUGUAGAUACCAGCAGCUUUGCUUUCCUCCCAUCAUAGAAACUGGUUCUGUUUUCUACACAUAGAGGUCAGCAGACUAUGAAUCCUGCCAUAAUAGAAGACCAGUUAUAUGGCUCCCAUAGACCUAAGAUGAUAUGGUAGGUUUGUCAUCAUUGAUCCCAAGAAUCAUAGUUAUAUCUCAACAGUUCUGGGAAUUCUAACGUAAUAGAAAUAGUUAACUAUGCUCCACAUUGUGCUCAGCAGGCCUAAGUGGCUCUCCACAUACACCUCAGCAGGCCUAAGAGUCCUGCCAUCAUAUAACCCAAAGUCCCUGUCUGUAUCCUACCAUCAUAUAAGAUGAGUUAUAUGGUUCUUCACAGAGUUCAGGAGCCAGUGAAACUGCCUAUAAUAGAAACCCUAUUCUGUGGUUAUGCACAUAUAGCCAGUAACUCUGGGAGUGGUACCUUCACAGAGCCUCAAUUCCCCAGUUUUCCAUGUAGGGUCUAAUAUUUCUGUGAGUCUUGAUAUCAUAGAAAUCAGUUCACUGAGCCUAACCCUAAUCCUAACCCCUAACCCUAACCCUAACCUUAACACUAACCAUAACCCUAACAAUUUUACCUUAAACCCUGCAGUUAGCAUUAAAAUUUUUGAGUUUCAUUACCUAUAAUCCUUAGGGAAAUAGUUUCCUUGGAUUCUCUGCAGCUUGGUGGCAGUUUUAAAUAUUGCAUUAUCCACAGUCCUAUGGUCCUUGAAGCUUUCAAGUGUUCCUGAAAUGAGUGGUGAAAUUGCUAGACUACAUUAUCCACCAUGCCACAUGGACACAUUUCCCAGAAUCUCUGCAGUGUUCAAUCAAAGUGUGAGACUACCUUACCCAUAAUCUUUAGGUAGGAGUUUCCCCAGAUACUCUACAUUGAGAAGGUAAAUCCAAGGAAUACAUUGUCAACAAUUGUAAGUGUUAAGAUCCUUCAAGUGUCCAUCAGUGAGCAGUCAAAUUAGUCCAAUUUGACUGCUCACUGAUGGCCACUUCUUUUUAUUGCACAAGUUUCC